rnacentral:rRNA from 1 species
UUGAACGCUGGCGGCAUGCUUUACACAUGCAAGUCGAACGGUAACAGGCCUUCGGGUGCUGACGAGUGGCGAACGGGUGAGUAAUGCAUCGGAACGUACCCAGAGGUGGGGGAUAACGCAGCGAAAGCUGUGCUAAUACUGCAUGUGAUCUGAGGAUGAAAGCGGGGGACCGAGCAGCAAUGUUUGGCCUCGCGCCUUUGGAGCGGCCGAUGUCGGAUUAGCUAGUUGGUGGGGUAAAGGCCUACCAAGGCGACGAUCCGUAGCUGGUCUGAGAGGACGACCAGCCACACUGGGACUGAGACACGGCCCAGACUCCUACGGGAGGCAGCAGUGGGGAAUUUUGGACAAAGGGCGCAAGCCUGAUCCAGCAAUGCCGCGUGCGGGAAGAAGGCCUUCGGGUUGUAAACCGCUUUUGGCAGGAACGAAACGGUGUCCGCUAAUACCGGGCGCUAAUGACGGUACCUGCAGAAUAAGCACCGGCUAACUACGUG